rnacentral:tRNA from 1 species
GGGGGAUUAGCUCAGCUGGCUAGAGCGCCUGCCUUGCACGCAGGAGGUCAUCGGUUCGAGCCCGUUCACCUCCACCA